rnacentral:rRNA from 1 species
GAUGAACGCUGGCGGCGUGCCUAAUACAUGCAAGUCGAGCGGAAAGACGAGGAGCUUGCUCCUCUCACGUUAGCGGUGGACGGGUGAGUAACACGUGGAAAACCUACCUAUCAGACUGGGAUAACUUCGGGACACCGGCGCUAAUACCGGAUAAUAUAUUGAACCGCAUGGUUCAAUAGUGAAAGACGGUUUUGCUGUCACUUAUAGCUGGAUCCGCGCCGCAUUAGCUAGUUGGUAAGGUAACCGCUUACCACGGCAACGAUGCGUAGCCGACCUGAGAGGGUGGUAGGCCACACUGGAACUGAGACACGGUCCAGACGCCUACGGGAGGCAGCAGUAGCGAAUGUGACGCAAUAGGCGAAAGCCUGACGGAGUAACGGCGCGUCAGUGAUGAAGGUCCUCGGAUCGUAAAACUCGGUUAUUAGGGAAGAACAAAUGUGUAAGUAACUAUGCACGGCUUGACGGUACCGAAUCAGAAAGCCACGGCUAACUACGUG